UUGUUCAUAAUGAAUAUCUUGAAUUUAAAUAUGUUUUUUUUGGGAAAAUUCUCAUUCUUUUGAAAAUAAAGCAUGGAUUUAAGAAACAAUUUUUCAUCUAAAAAUUAUCUAUUACACUACAUUCAAAUGACCCAACUCCGUGAAAUUACAAAAAAUGAAGAUUUUGGUAUAGUUGACUUCUUAGUCAAAUGUUGACUUUUAGUCAAAUAUUGACUUUUAAUCAACUGUUGACUUUUAAUCAACUGUUGUCCUUUAGCCAACUGUUGACUUUUAGUCAACUACAUGAUCCUAAAACCCUAAUGAAGCUCUUUUGCUUUCAUAUUCCACCAUGCCUUGAACAUCUUUUCAUGCCAUGUGUGCCAUAACCUCUCCAUGUGCCAUAACUUCCUUCAUGUGCUAGCAAGCCAUCACUCUUGAAUGUCUUGAUAGCACCACUUUAAUGCCUUUAAUUCAUGACCAAAGGCUAAGCAAGAUCAUCAUUACAACAACCUGUAUUCAAUGUUCAAACAUCAUCCAAUCAAGGUCUUUUUUCAUGAAGGGCACAAACAAACUUCAAUAUGGCAUCAUGUAUACAAGUUACCAAUGCAUAAGUACUACAUCCAAGUUUUGUCAACAUUCUAUCAUCAACAAUAAGCAAGUAUCAUAACACACAUUAAUCAAAUCAGUGGCACAUUUUCAUGAAUAACCUGACAAUGAAACAAAGCAUAACAUUCCCACAUUCUUUCAAUUCAAACCAAUAUUCCAAUUCAUUCCCAAUGCAAAAAUAAGGAUAUAGCAGUGCAUUUCAAAAAGGGGGAGGAGUGGUUUUCUGUUGCAACCAUUUAAUUGUCCAUUUCAAAUCUCAACUUAUAACUAAUUUAUAACCAACUGAUUUCAUGACUGGACUAAUUUUAGAUGAAUUUAACAGUUUAACAAUAAUUUCCAUUUGAGACAACUAGCUUAAAUAAUCUCUAACAGAUUCUAUAACUAACAAAUUGCCAUAACUCACCAUUAAUUAUUAGCAGACCAACAUUAACACCAUCGAUUUCUAGCUAAUGGACUACAUAACAAGCCAUUGAUAUAAAUCCUUAAUAGAACAACCAGCAGACCAACAAAUUUCAGAAUAUGUCAUUAGCACGUGAUUUAACAGAAGCCAAUAAUAUCAUUUAACAAAAGACUUCAGUUUCCGACUAACUGAAAAAUAUCAUGUGAGUUUAAUUCUUUUUGAUAACUAACAUAUCCUAACAUAACUAAUAACUUUUAAUUGUCAUUUACCAACUAACUCUAACUAGCAUUAACCGAACCAAUAACCUGAACCAACAUUAAGUUAAUGGAACUUAAAACUAGAGUAUAACUAACCUUGCAAAAUCACAUGCCAGAAGGAGGUCUGAACACUUAGCUUCUAAUCAUAAUUCGGACCUCGCCAAACAGAACAAAUUUUGCAUCCCACCACCUACACGAUUAUGUUUAACAGAGGCUUAAAAUAUAUUGAAAACAGACUAACAUAAAUGAUCUAGAACUAACUUCAUUAUUUCAAAACUAACAUUUUAACAACAUCAUAACAGAAUUUCACAUCAUUAGUUAACUUCUAAUAGAUUUUCAUCGCAACCUAACAGAAAGUUAACCGUGCCCUAACUUGUAACUAAUCCUGCCCGAAAUCUUGCCCUAAUCUGUCACAUUUCCAGCUCUAUAUAAUCCAAUCAUUAUCCCUAAUUAACGGUUAAUCACAAUUCAAUCACUUCUUGACCAUAUUCACUCGUUUAUCUUCUCCAUUCUCUCUAACGGAAACCCUACUCAGAGCUCUAUUGAGAAUCCAUUGGAGCUUCACAUUGAAGCUCCAAAUGUGGUUGAGCCAAACCUCCUCUCUCUGCACUCGCUGGGACAACACGCGACCGAAUCGCUCCAGAAACGAAAGUGCACCAAAGAAGAAGAAGAACACAACACGCGCGCAAGAAGCAACAGUAAGAAGAAAAGAGCGUAUUACUUGAUUAGAAGCAUUCCUUGUUCGUCUUCUUCGAUCCAUCGCAUCAUCGGAGUGAAGCUCCGAUUCGGAGGUAAGCUCGUCUUCCCUUUUCGUUGGGAAAAUCAUUGCCAUAUCGUAGAUUUUGUCCUGAGAAGCGUUAUCCCUAAACCUUGGGACCAAAUUCUUGAGUUAUCACGGUUUAAUUUCAAAUCUGAAAGGUUAGGGUUCAGGUUUUGUGAGUUUCGAUUUGUCCGUUUGAUGAGGAUUUGGAGGAAAUAAGCUUGAGAUUAUAGUAGAGAGAGGUGUGGCGAUCAGAUUGAUGUAGAUUUUGUGGUUAUUGGUCCUCCUCCGUCGCCUGAUGCGAAUGCUUGCGCCAUAGAGAUAUUGGAUUUCGGCCAAGUGGGUUCGAGUGAUGUCACUUUGUGAAUGUUAAUGAUAAUCAAGCUUGAACCCUUCUUGAGUUUGGCCUGGGAUUGAACAAAGGCU
rnacentral:lncRNA from 1 species